CCAGUGAAAUGGGCGCAGCCUGAUCCGCCUUGCCGCGUGAGUUGAUGAAGGCCUUAGGGUCGUAAAGCUCUUUUAGCGGAGACGAUAAUGACGGUAUCCGCAGAAAAAGCCCCGGCCAACUCCGUGCCAGCAGCCGCGGUAAUACGAAGGGGGCUAGCGUUGCUCGGAAUCACUGGGCGUAAAGCGCACGUAGGUGGGUCGUUAAGUCGGGGGUGAAAUCCCGGAGCUCAACACCGGAACUGCCUUCGAUACUGGCGACCUUCGAGCCCGGGAGAGGUGAGUGGAACUGCGAGUGUAGAGGUGAAAUCCGUAGAUAUUCGCAAGAACACCAGUGGCGAAGGCGGCUCACUGGCCCGGUACUGACACUGAGGUGCGAAA
rnacentral:rRNA from 1 species